AGGUGUAGGUUGCUCCACAGCUCUCUGCAGGCCAGUAUUCCAACCACAUAGUAUCAUGGUCAGUGGGGCUCACAUUGAUUGUUAUAAGUUGUACUGUCAAUUUGCUUAUGAUUUCACAACAAUUAUACAGGGUCCACCUUAAGGAUGGUGAUUUCAGGACCACUCCUUUAUUACACUUGGACCAGGUGAAAUUUAUUCAAGACUUUCCAAAUACUAUCUGCUUUUCUGAUACUUGGGUCAUAUAUCUUAGAGGCCAUUUAAUGCUUUUCUAACAUGAGAUUUGAUGUGGGAAUGUAACUUUGCACAUGUCAGGUUAGCCUCAGAUAGUGAAUGUUCUAUCAUUAUAGCAACCGUCAUAAUGAUUCUGAAAACCUUUGAAAUGGCACUAUAUAAUGGCCAUAGUAUUUUUCGGUUAGCACUGCACCAUUUAAAUUUAAUGUCAGGUACAUAAACAACUAUUUUGUAAUCAAAUAUAUGAUAUUGUUAUUUGUAUAUGACAUGAUUGUUUCUAGAGAUGUCAUAAAAAAUUAUAAUAUAUAUUUUUUUGUCAUAAGUUGUUAUAUGGAUAAUUCCAUGAAAUCAGAGUAGCACCAAUUUUCAAAUUCUCUUAGCUAAAUAACAUUCAUAAUAAAACAAUAAAAGCACCC
rnacentral:lncRNA from 1 species